UGUGCCUCCGCGCCAGGGGGGAUGAGAAUCCCCGACCGGGGUUCGACAACCGGCGACAGCCGGUUGGACAGACCACGAACGCAGUGAGAGGGCUGCCCGAAGGGCGAGCAAAGCGAGUCAAUCCCCCCUCACCGCCA
rfam:Enterobacter cloacae S611 EDP2.NODE_1923, whole genome shotgun sequence.